rnacentral:rRNA from 1 species
UACGUAGGGCGCAAGCGUUGUCCGGAAUUAUUGGGCGUAAAGAGCUCGUAGGCGGCCAGUUGCGUCUGCUGUGAAAUCCCGGGGCUCAACCCCGGGCGUGCAGUGGAUACGGGCUGGCUAGAGGCAGGCAGGGGAGAACGGAAUUCCCGGUGUAGCGGUGAAAUGCGCAGAUAUCGGGAGGAACACCGGCGGCGAAGGCGGUUCUCUGGGCCUUACCUGACACUGAGGAGCGAAAGCGUGGGGAGCGAACAGG